rnacentral:rRNA from 1 species
CGCGGCCUAUCAGCUUGUUGGUGGGGUAAUGGCUCACCAAGGCGACGACGGGUAGCCGGCCUGAGAGGGCGAUCGGCCACACUGGGACUGAGACACGGCCCAGACUCCUACGGGAGGCAGCAGUGGGGAAUAUUGCACAAUGGGCGAAAGCCUGAUGCAGCGACGCCGCGUGAGGGAUGAAGGCCUUCGGGUUGUAAACCUCUUUCAGUAGGGAAGAAGCGAAAGUGACGGUACCUACAGAAGAAGCACCGGCUAACUACGUGCCAGCAGCCGCGGUAAUACGUAGGGUGCGAGCGUUGUCCGGAAUUAUUGGGCGUAAAGAGCUUGUAGGCGGUUUGUCGCGUCUGCUGUGAAAAUCCGGGGCUCAACUCCGGACUUGCAGUGGGUACGGGCAGACUAGAGUGUGGUAGGGGAGACUGGAAUUCCUGGUGUAGCGGUGAAAUGCGCAGAUAUCAGGAGGAACACCGGUGGCGAAGGCGGUUCUCUGGGCAUUACCUGACGCUGAGGAGCGAAAGUGUGGGGAGCGAACAGGAUUAGAUACCCUGGUAGUCCACACCGUAAACGUUGGGCGCUAGGUGUGGGACUCAUUCCACGAGUUCCGUGCCGCAGCUAACGCAUUAAGCGCCCCGCCUGGGGAGUACGG